AACACUAUACCCAGGCAGCUGACUGGACCAAGAGUUGCAUCUGACUCAAGAUGAGGACAUGAAAUCUGUUGAGCUUAAUGAAUGAAGGAAUGGAAAGUUACUAAAUGUAAUUAAAUGGACUGCCUUGAGACAAAUCCUCCAACAGUAGCCUUCAGGUUUUGUUGAUUAACAUAUGUUAAUGAAGAAGAAACUGAGGCCUCAGAUUUGUUCAAAAUCACCCAUCUUGUUAUCUGCAGAACCAGAAUUCACAUGUUGGUAUGAUUGGCUGCAAAGUUUUUGCUCUUAACUGCAAAACAAUACCACUUGUUCAUCAGGCCCAUAGCAGCUUUUUGAGUAGAAAAAGGUGAGACCAUUGAGUUGCACAGAGCCUUAAGUGGAAGAUCCUCCUUCCAAGAUUGUACUCCCUCCACUUCCUUACUUGAUUCAACAAUGAAUCACUAGUUCUCUCACCUACUAGAGUUUCUUAAUUGUGCUCCAAAAUCUCCUUUUACAACAUCUGGAUUAAAAGGUCUGAACUAAGAAUAAUGGGUUCUAUUUUGCCAGGGAGAGGCCCCUGCUCUGUAACUGGUAAAGGGUAAAUCCUCAAGGAGGGUUAAGAUCCCACCACCAAGCUCCCCAGUAUUACAUGGCUCCAUUCUUCCAUCUAAGACCUUUUCUGUGAGCUCCUUCACUUCUUACUAUAGACUGCUUGUGUCCCCCCACAACUCCUGUGUUGAAACCCUAAUCCACAGUAUGAUUUGGAGAUGGGGCCUUUGUUAGGGUGGAACCCUAUGUUGGCAUUAGUGAAUUUUUAAGACCAGACAAAAGAAAACUUCCUUCCUCUCUGCUGUCUCUGCUAUGUGAGGAUAAAACAGGAGACAGUCAUCUAUAAACCAGAAAGAAUGUCCUCGCCAGACACUAGAUCUGCCAGUGCCUUGAUCUUGGACUUCUCAGCCUCCGCAAGUGUGAGAAAUAAAUAUUUGUUCUUUCAACCACUCUUUCGAUGGUUAUAGCAGCCUGAGCUAAGAAACUUUUUUAACUCUCAGGUACUAUACACCACCAUACAAAUGCACCUAAGGCUAUAUUUAAUCAUUUUUUCCCCCACUCUU